rnacentral:rRNA from 1 species
CAGUAGCCCGGGAAUACAGAGGGUGCGAGCGUUAAUCGGAUUUACUGGGCGUAAAGCGUGCGUAGGCGGCUUUUUAAGUCGGAUGUGAAAUCCCUGAGCUUAACUUAGGAAUUGCAUUCGAUACUGGGAAGCUAGAGUAUGGGAGAGGAUGGUAGAAUUCCAGGUGUAGCGGUGAAAUGCGUAGAGAUCUGGAGGAAUACCGAUGGCGAAGGCAGCCAUCUGGCCUAAUACUGACGCUGAGGUACGAAAGCAUGGGGAGCAAACAGGAUUAGAUACCCCGGUAGUCCCUGUCUCUUAUACA